ensembl:snRNA U2 U2 spliceosomal RNA
AUCGCUUCCCGGCCUUUUGGCUACGAUCAAGUGUAGUAUCUGCUCUCAUCAGGUUAAUAUCUGAGGACAAUACAGUAAAUGGAGCAAAUUUUUGGAGCUGGGAAUUGGAAUAGGAGCUUGCUCCACUCACUCCACACCUGGACCUGGUAUUCUCCAGGAAUGGUGCACCCCCU